rnacentral:rRNA from 1 species
AUGAACGCUGGCGGCGUGCCUAAUACAUGCACGUCGAGCGAACGGACGAGAAGCUUGCUUUUCUGAUGUUAGCGGCGGACGGGUGAGUAACACGUGGAUAACCUACCUAUAAGACUGGGAUAACUUCGGGAAACCGGAGCUAAUACCGGAUAAUAUUUUGAACCGCAUGGUUCAAAAGUGAAAGACGGUCUUUCUGUCACUUAUAGAUGGAUCCGCGCUGCAUUAGCUAGUUGGUAAGGUAACGGCUUACCAAGGCAACGAUGCAUAGCCGACCUGAGAGGGUGAUCAGCCACACUGGGAUUGAGACACGGUGCAGGCUCCUACGGGAGGCAGCAGUAGGGAAUCUUCCGAAAUGGGCGAAAACCUGACGGAGCAACGCCGCGUGAGUGAUGAAGGUCUUCGGAGCGUAAAACUCUGUUAUUAGGGAAGAACAUAUGUGUAAGUAACUGUGAACAUCCUGACGGUACCUAAUCAGAAAGCCACGGCUAACUACGUG